UACGUAGGUGGCAAGCGUUGUCCGGAUUUACUGGGCGUAAAGAGCGCGCAGGCGGUCGUACAAGUCGCGUGUGAAAGCCCCCGGCUCAACUGGGGAGGGUCACGCGAUACUGUUCGACUCGAAGGCAGGAGAGGGAAGCGGAAUUCCCGGUGUAGCAGUGAAAUGCGUAGAGAUCGGGAGGAACACCAGUGGCGAAGGCGGCUACCUGGACCAGCACUGACACUGAAGCACGAAAGCGUGGGGAGCAAACAGG
rnacentral:rRNA from 1 species